UACGUAGGGGGCGAGCGUUGUCCGGAAUUACUGGGCGUAAAGGGUACGCAGGCGGUUUGAUAAGUCAGGUGUAAAAGGCAUUGGCUCAACCAAUGUAAGCAUUUGAAACUGUCAGACUUGAGUAUAGGAGAGGUAAGUGGAAUUCCUAGUGUAGCGGUGAAAUGCGUAGAUAUUAGGAGGAACACCAGUGGCGAAGGCGACUUACUGGACUAAAACUGACGCUGAGGUACGAAAGCGUGGGGAGCAAACAGGAUUAGAUACCCUGGUAGUCCACGCUGUAAACGAUGAGUGCUAGGUGUCGGCAAGAGAUUGUCGGUGCCGGAGUUAACGCAAUAAGCACUCCGCCUGGGGAGUACGGUCGCAAGACUGAA
rnacentral:rRNA from 1 species